UACGAAGGGUGCAAGCGUUACUCGGAAUUACUGGGCGUAAAGCGUGCGUAGGUGGUUUGUUAAGUCUGUUGUGAAAGCCCCGGGCUCAACCUGGGAAUGGCAAUGGAUACUGGCAAGCUAGAGUGCGGUAGAGGGUAGUGGAAUUCCCGGUGUAGCGGUGAAAUGCGUAGAGAUCGGGAGGAACACCAGUGGCGAAGGCAGCUCGCUGGGACGUGACUGACGCUGAGACGCGAAAGCGUGGGAGCAACAGGG
rnacentral:rRNA from 1 species